rnacentral:misc_RNA from 1 species
UCCAACUUAUCGCUGGCGGUCUCCUGAGAGUGCUUCCCUUACGGGAGUGGCAACACAGGACAAGGGUUGCGCUCGUUGCGGGACUUAACCCAACAUCUCACGGCACGAGCUGACGACAACCAUGCAGCACCUUGUAAAUUGUCUUGCGAAAGUUCUGUUUCCAAAACGGUCAAUCUACAUUUAAGCCUUGGUAAGGUUCCUCGCGUAUCAUCGAAUUAAAUCACAUGCUCCACCGCUUGUGCGGGCCCCCGUCAAUUCCUUUGAGUUUCAUUCUUGCGAACGUACUCCCCAGGUGGGAUACUUAUCACUUUCGCUUAGCCACUCAGGUUGCCCCGAACAGCUAGUAUCCAUCGUUUACGGCGUGGACUAC